UCCAGUAAUGGUUAAACCCUGGGAGAAGAAAAUGUGACUGUGGAUGGUUUGAAGACCCAGGUUAGAGGUUCUUAAAGAAUGUUGGAAAUCCGCGCGGUGUCCCUGGGCGCCGGCUCGGCCACAGCAUCUGUAGCUGUAGAAGCCAGUGUGGCCCAGAAGCUCCCCACUGGCUGCACAUCUGAACAGCUUCAAGAGGACAAGUUUCCCCAUCAAAGAUUUCAAGACCAGCUCUGUCGAAUGGCUGAGACCCACCUUGCAAGGUAGUGGUGGG